rnacentral:rRNA from 1 species
UACGAAGGGUGCAAACGUUGCUCGGAAUUAUUGGGCGUAAAGCGCACGUAGGCGGCUUGGCAAGUCGGAUGUGAAAUCCCUCGGCUCAACCAAGGAAGUGCAUCCGAAACUGCUGAGCUUGAGUACUUAAGAGGAUGCGGAAUUCCCGGUGUAGAGGUGAAAUUCGUAGAUAUCGGGAGGAACACCAGUGGCGAAGGCGGCGAUCUGGGAAGAUACUGACGCUGAGGUGCGAAAGCGUGGGGAGCAAACAGG